GGGCCUACGGGGGGCAGCAGUGGGGAAUAUUGGACAAUGGGGGCAACCCUGAUCCAGCAAUGCCGCGUGUGUGAAGAAGGCCUGAGGGUUGUAAAGCACUUUCGGCGGGGAGGAGGGCAAAUUGGUUAAGAGCUGAUUUGUUGGACGUUACCCGCAUAAGAAGCACCGGCUAACUCCGUGCCAGCAGCCGCGGUAAUACGGAGGGUGCGAGCGUUAAUCGGAAUUACUGGGCGUAAAGGGUGCGUAGGUGGUUAAGUAAGUUAUCUGUGAAAGCCCAGGGCUUAACCUUGGAGGGUCAGAUAAGACUAUUUGGCUAGAGUAUGAGAGAGGGUAGUGGAAUUUCCGGUGUAGCGGUGAAAUGCGUAGAGAUCGGAAGGAACACCAGUGGCGAAGGCGGCUACCUGGCUUAAUACUGACACUGAGGCACGAAAGCGUGGGGAGCAAACAGGAUUAGAUACCCUGGUAGUC
rnacentral:rRNA from 1 species